rnacentral:lncRNA from 1 species
CUUAGCAUGAUGGAAUUAUUGGGAGGUGCUCAAAGGGUGGAGGUUUGAGAACCCAGGAAGUUAUUGUUGGCUGCGUGCCCUUGAAAAUGCAUCUUUCAUGACUUCUUCUUGUCCCGUCCCCUUUCUGCUUCCUGUCAAUUUGCCCUCUCCCAUGAUGGUGCAAAUCACGUGAAAUUGUGAGCUGAAGUUGUGCUUGUCUGCAAGCCAAAACUCAGUCUGAUGGAUGUGCCCAGAAAGCUGAGAUCUAGGAGAAACUUGGUAUCCCUUAGUUGGCAGAUGGACCAGUUAAGAUUCAUUUGAUUGCACAUAAUAGAUACUCAAGUAAUGAUGUGUUGAGCAAUAAAGUGUGUGAUCAUUCUG